rnacentral:rRNA from 1 species
AUGGACCCGCGUUUGAUUAGCCAAGUUGACAGGGUAACGGCCUACCAAAGCGACGAUCAGUAGCCGGCCUGAGAGGGUGGACGGCCACAUUGGGACUGAGACACGGCCCAAACUCCUACGGGAGGCAGCAGUGGGGAAUAUUGCACAAUGGGGGAAACCCUGAUGCAGCGACGCCGCGUGAGUGAAGAAGUAUUUCGGUAUGUAAAGCUCUAUCAGCAGGAACGAGACAAGACAAAACAUGACUAAGAAGCCCCGGCUAACUACGUGCCAGCAGCCGCGGUAAUACGUAGGGGGCAAGCGUUAUCCGGAAUCACUGGGUGUAAAGGGAGCGUAGACGGCUGAGCAAGCCUGAAGUGAAAGGCGGGGGCCCAACCCCCGGACUGCUUUGGGAACUGUACGGCUGGAGUGCAGGAGAGGUAAGUGGAAUUCCUAGUGUAGCGGUGAAAUGCGUAGAUA